GUGCCAGCCGCCGCGGUAAUACGUAGGUGGCGAGCGUUGUCCGGAAUUACUGGGCGUAAAGGGUGCGUAGGCGGUCCAUUAAGUCUGAUUUGAAAUACCAUGGCUUAACCAUGGGGGGCGAUUGGAAACUGGUGGACUUGAGCAUAGGAGAGGAAGGUGGAAUUCCAUGUGUAGCGGUGAAAUGCGUAGAGAUAUGGAGGAACACCAGUGGCGAAGGCGGCCUUCUGGCCUAUAGCUGACGCUGAGGCACGAAAGCGUGGGGAGCAAACAGGAUUAGAUACCCUGGUAGUCCACGCCGUAAACGAUGAGUACUAAGUGUCGGGGAGAAGUCCUCGGUGCUGAAGUAAACACAUUAAGUACUCCGCCUGGGGAGUACGGUCGCAAGACUGAAACUCAAAGAAAUUGACGG
rnacentral:rRNA from 1 species